rnacentral:tRNA from 1 species
GCCAAUGUAGUGCAGGGAGAGGUUUCUGCAUGAGUGGCGCUAAAAAUUUUAUGUUAGCUGAACCAAACAGUUUUGCUGCACGGCCGAAAACCCGCAACUGACUUGUAAUCAGUAGGUCCCGGGUUCGACUCCUGGUGUCGGCACCA